rnacentral:rRNA from 1 species
AGAGUUUGAUCAUGGCUCAGAUUGAACGCUGGCGGCAUGCCUUACACAUGCAAGUCGAGCGCGAAAGGGGGGCAACCCCCGAGUAGAGCGGCGAACGGGUGAGUAACGCAUCGGAACGUGCCCAGUAGUGGGGGACAACCUCGAGAAAUCGAGGCUAAUACCGCAUACGACCUACGGGUGAAAGCGGGGGACCGCAAGGCCUCGCGCUAUUGGAGCGGCCGAUGUCCGAUUAGCUAGUUGGCGGGGUAAGAGCCCACCAAGGCGACGAUCGGUAGCUGGUCUGAGAGGACGACCAGCCACACUGGGACUGAGACACGGCCCAGACUCCUACGGGAGGCAGCAGUGGGGAAUUUUGGACAAUGGGCGCAAGCCUGAUCCAGCCAUGCCGCGUGCGGGAAGAAGGCCUUCGGGUUGUAAACCGCUUUCGGCCGGAACGAAAUCGCCCGGGUGAAUAGCCCGGGUGGAUGACGGUACCGGAAGAAGAAGCACCGGCUAACUACGUGCCAGCAGCCGCGGUAAUACGUAGGGUGCGAGCGUUAAUCGGAAUUACUGGGCGUAAAGCGUGCGCAGGCGGUUUCGUAAGACAGGUGUGAAAUCCCCGGGCUCAACCUGGGAACUGCGCUUGUGACUGCGAGGCUGGAGUGUGGCAGAGGGAGGUGGAAUUCCACGUGUAGCAGUGAAAUGCGUAGAGAUGUGGAGG